UUCCAGACUCCUACGGGAGGCAGCAGUGGGGAAUAUUGCACAAUGGGGGAAACCCUGAUGCAGCGACGCCGCGUGAAGGAAGAAGUAUUUCGGUAUGUAAACUUCUAUCAGCAGGGAAGAAAAUGACGGUACCUGACUAAGAAGCCCCGGCUAACUACGUGCCAGCAGCCGCGGUAAUACGUAGGGGGCAAGCGUUAUCCGGAUUUACUGGGUGUAAAGGGAGCGUAGGCGGUGCAGCAAGUCAGAAGUGAAAGCCCGGGGCUCAACUCCGGGACUGCUUUUGAAACUGUUGGACUAGAUUGCAGGAGAGGUAAGUGGAAUUCCUAGUGUAGCGGUGAAAUGCGUAGAUAUUAGGAGGAACACCAGUGGCGAAGGCGGCCUACUGGACUGUAAAUGACGCUGAGGCUCGAAAGCGUGGGGAGCAAACAGGAUUAGAUACCCGUGUA
rnacentral:rRNA from 1 species